AGUGACACUGUUCAACGGCCGCGGUAUCCUAACCGUGCGAAGGUAGCGUAAUCACUUGUCCUUUAAAUGGGGACUAGUAUGAACGGCACCACGAGGGUUAUACUGUCUCCUUUUUCCAAUCAGUGAAUCUAAUCUCCCCGUGAAGAAGCGGGGAUACACCUAUAAGACGAGAAGACCCUAUGGAGCUUUAAACGAAACAACAUCUGCUAAGUCACAUUCCUAUCUCAGGAGAUCAACUCUAUUUAGCUUUAUGGUUGUUAGUUUUAGGUUGGGGUGACCGCGGAGUAMAAAAUAACCUCCRCAAUGAACGGGGACCUCCCCUAWGCWMUAAGCCACAACUUUACGCAUCAACAAAUUGACRUUGAUUGACCCAAUAUUUUGAUCAACGAAACAAGUUACCCUAGGGAUAACAGCGCAAUCCACUUCAAGAGCCCGUAUCGACAAGUGGGUUUACGACCUCGAUGUUGGAUCAGGAUACCCCAGUGGUGCAGCCGCUACUAAA
rnacentral:rRNA from 1 species